UGUGAGGUUAAGCGACUAAGCGUACACGGUGGAUGCCCUGGCAGUCAGAGGCGAUGAAGGACGUGCUAAUCUGCGAUAAGCGCCGGUAAGGUGAUAUGAACCGUUAUAACCGGCGAUUUCCGAAUGGGGAAACCCAGUGUGACUCGUCACACUAUCAUUAACUGAAUCCAUAGGUUAAUGAGGCGAACCGGGGGAACUGAAACAUCUAAGUACCCCGAGGAAAAGAAAUCAACCGAGAUUCCCCCAGUAGCGGCGAGCGAACGGGGAGGAGCCCAGAGCCUGAAUCAGCAUGUGUGUUAGUGGAAGCGUCUGGAAAGGCGCGCGAUACAGGGUGACAGCCCCGUACACAAAAGCGCAUGUGCUGUGAGCUCGAUGAGUAGGGCGGGACACGUGGUAUCCUGUCUGAAUAUGGGGGGACCAUCCUCCAAGGCUAAAUACUCCUGACUGACCGAUAGUGAACCAGUACCGUGAGGGAAAGGCGAAAAGAACCCCGGCGAGGGGAGUGAAAAAGAACCUGAAACCGU
rnacentral:rRNA from 1 species